CCGCAGCUGACUUCCCGCUAGGCUGGGCCUGGCUGGAAGGCCCUGCUACCGGGUUGGCUACCACGCAAGGCACGCGUCACCUCCUUCUAGUUGCGGAUGUCAGGCCUUGAGUCUCAGCAACGACGGAAGUGACUGUGACACAAGGCCGUUGGAUCCCGACAGAAGAAAGAUCCCAGGGGUCUGCGGCUGCGGGACACCUCAUCGGCCUCUCGGUGUAAAUAUAAAUGUAUUAGAGAGUCAAACAGUCUGUUUGACUAAGAUGGUAGAUCCUGGAUGGUGCAGCGCCAGGAGACAGCUACGGUACGUGUGCUCCCUUUCUGCGCAUGCCCGAUCAGGAGACAGUCAGUUCCCGCCCAGGCCAGGCGGGCCGGGGGCAGGAGUCACCCGGCCCUCCCACACUAUAAAUAAAG
rnacentral:lncRNA from 1 species